rnacentral:rRNA from 1 species
CCUACGGGGGGCAGCAGUCGAGAAUCAUUCACAAUGGGGGAAACCCUGAUGGUGCGACGCCGCGUGGGGGAAUGAAGGUCUUCGGAUUGUAAACCCCUGUCAUGUGGGAGCAAAUUAAAAAGAUAGUACCACAAGAGGAAGAGACGGCUAACUCUGUGCCAGCAGACGCGGUAAUACAGAGGUCUCAAGCGUUGUUCUGAAUCACUGGGCGUAAAGCGUGCGUAGGCUGUUUCGUAAGUCGUGUGUGAAAGGCGCGGGCUCAACCCGCGGACGGCACAAGAUACUGCGAGACUAGAGUAAUGGAGGGGGAACGGGAAUUCUCGGUGUAGCAGUGAAAUGCGUAGAUAGCGAGAGGAACACUAGUGGCGAAGGCGGGUUCCUGGACAUUAACUGACGCUGAGGAGCGAAAGCGUGGGUAGCAAACAGGAUUAGAUACCCGAGUAGUC